GGGUGUCAGUGCGGGUAAGUUGUAUGGAAAUACACGCCGUGGAGGGUGAGAGCCCCGUCCAACCUGCACAGGACACUCCGUACGAGAAUGAUUCAGUUGAGUCGGGUAGCUUGGGAAUGCUGCUCUAAUUGGUGGUAAAUCUCAUCAAAGGCUAAAUAUUGACCGGAAACCGAUAGCGAACAAGUACCGUGAGGGAAAGAUGACAAGCACUUUGAAAAGAGGGUGAAAAGAGCCUGAAACCGUCAUGGGGGAAGCGGAUUGCGUUGGAGAUUGGGUUGCUGUGUGUUCAGCCUUUGAAUUUUAAACGAUUUGGGGUGCAUUGGCGCAGUAAUCGAGGCACCGUGGGUUUCAGCUGGUGGAAGUUGCACUGGUUGGGGCUGAGGGAUCCCUUUUAUAGGUGAGGACGGUGUGUGAACGACGCAAUACGACCCGUCUUGAAACACGGACCAAGGAGUCUAGCGCGGUUGCGAGUCAGAGGGUGCAAGCCCGAGGGCGUAGUGAAAGCGAGUGUGAAAACGAGCAGUUUGGGGCGGCAUGAGAUUGUUAAUUUCAAGUCCGACCUUGAGCAGUUGCGCUGGGACCCGAAAGAUGGUGAACUAUGCCGGAAUAGGGCAAAGCCAGAGGAAACUCUGGUGGAGGCUCGUAGCGGUGCUGACGUGCAAAUCGCUCGUCUGAUUUUGGUAUAGGGGCGAAAGACUAAUCGAACCAUCUAGUAGCUGGUUCCCUCCGAAGUUUCUCUCAGGAUAGCGGGCCGACAGGUGUUGUUUUGUGCGGUAAAGCGAAUGAUUAGCGCACUCGGGGGCGGUUUGCCUUUGGGCGAUUCUCAAACUUUCAAUGCGCAAGGGUGCCGCUGCUUGAUUGAGCGGCACCGGCAAAAACGUCGGCCCCGUGGGCCACUUUUGGUAAGC
rnacentral:rRNA from 1 species